rnacentral:rRNA from 1 species
AUUGAACGCUAGCGGGAUGCCUUACACAUGCAAGUCGAACGGAGUGGCGAACGGGUGAGUAAUGUAUCGGAACGUGCCCAGUAGCGGGGGAUAACUAUGCGAAAGCGUAGCUAAUACCGCAAACUUUUGGAGCGGCCGAUAUCGGAUUAGCAAGUUGGUGGGGUAAGGGCUCACCAAGGCGACGAUCCGUAGCUGGUUUGAGAGGACGACCAGCCACACUGGGACUGAGACACGGCCCAGACUCCUACGGGAGGCAGCAGUGGGGAAUUUUGGACAAUGGGGGAAACCCUGAUCCAGCCAUCCCGCGUGUACGAUGAAGGCCUUCGGGUUGUAAAGUACUUUUAGCGGGAAGGCGGUACCUGCAGAAGAAGCACCGGCUAACUACGUGCCAGCAGCCGCGGUAAUAC